rnacentral:rRNA from 1 species
UCAUAUGCUUGUCUCAAAGAUUAAGCCAUGCAUGUCUCAGUACAAGCCAAAUUAAGGUGAAACCGCGAAAGGCUCAUUAAAUCAGUUAUGGUUCCUUAGAUCGUACCCACAUUUACUUGGAUAACUGUGGUAAUUCUAGAGCUAAUACAUGCAAAUAGAGCUCCGACCGGAGACGGAAGGAGCGCUUUUAUUAGAUCAAAACCAAUCGGUGAUGGGUCCGCCCUUCAUCGUACAACUUGGUGACUCUGAAUAACUUUACGCUGAUCGCAUGGUCUAGCACCGGCGACGCAUCUUUCAAAUGUCUGCCUUAUCAACUGUCGAUGGUAGGUUCUGCGCCUACCAUGGUUGUAACGGGUAACGGGGAAUCAGGGUUCGAUUCCGGAGAGGGAGCCUGAGAAACGGCUACCACAUCCAAGGAAGGCAGCAGGCGCGCAAAUUACCCACUCCCGGCACGGGGAGGUAGUGACGAAAAAUAACGAUACGGGACUCAUCCGAGGCCCCGUAAUCGGAAUGAGUACACUCUAAACCCUUUAACGAGGAUCAAUUGGAGGGCAAGUCUGGUGCCAGCAGCCGCGGUAACUCCARCUCCAAUAKCGUAUAUUAAAGUUGUUGCGGUUAAAAAGCUCGUAGUCGAAUCUGUGUCUCGCGCCGACGGUUCAUCGUACGCGGUGUCAACUGUCGUGCCGCGAGACGUCCUGCCGGUGGGCUUAGCUCGCAAGGGCGGCCCAACUCAAUCCCACCGCGGUGCUCUUCACUGAGUGUCGAGGUGGGCCGGCACGUUUACUUUGAACAAAUUAGAGUGCUUAAAGCAGGCUAAAACUUCGCCUGAAUACUGUGUGCAUGGAAUAAUGGAAUAGGACCUCGGUUCUAUUUUGUUGGUUUUCGGAACCCCGAGGUAAUGAUUAAUAGGAACGGAUGGGGGCAUUCGUAUUGCGACGUUAGAGGUGAAAUUCUUGGAUCGUCGCAAGACGGACAGAAGCGAAAGCAUUUGCCAAAAACGCUUUCAUUGAUCAAGAACGAAAGUUAGAGGUUCGAAGGCGAUCAGAUACCGCCCUAGUUCUAACCAUAAACGAUGCCAGCUAGCGAUCCGCCGACGUUCCUCCGAUGACUCGGCGGGCAGCUUCCGGGAAACCAAAGCUUUUGGGUUCCGGGGGAAGUAUGGUUGCAAAGCUGAAACUUAAAGGAAUUGACGGAAGGGCACCACCAGGAGUGGAGCCUGCGGCUUAAUUUGACUCAACACGGGAAACCUCACCAGGCCCGGACACCGGAAGGAUUGACAGAUUGAGAGCUCUUUCUUGAUUCGGUGGGUGGUGGUGCAUGGCCGUUCUUAGUUGGUGGAGCGAUUUGUCUGGUUAAUUCCGAUAACGAA